UGAACUCCAUAGACUGUAUAUUCUGCAUCAGUGCCACAUCAAUGGAAUGAACAUCCAAACAUUUGGAAAAUGGAUCUCCAAUGGUUAUUGAUAGGCCCAAGACAUUGUAUCUGGAAUUGUGGCAGAUGCAUCAGCACUUCACCUGGAUUUGUACAUGAGCCAGUAUUUCUGUUUUUCCCCCUUCCCCCUCUUCCCCCGACACUUUUAGCUAAGUGCUAAAUUGUAUAUAUGUAUUACAUAAUACUUGCAUGAUCAUCUGUUACUCUAAGGAAUCAAUCAUAUGCUUUUUGUAAAACUGUUCAGUCAUGCUACUGCUACCCGGGCUUAUCUAAGGUGGUUCAAAGAAUAGGACUUUGGUAGAGAUCAUAGGCCCAGCUCAUGUGAUCACUUGUGUAUUUAUAGACAUAUUGAAAGAAAGGGUAAAUAAGAACAACACUUAUCAGUCUUCUCUCACCAACCACUGAAGCAUAACAGGUCAUCCCUUUCUUCCCAAGAUUCUAUAAUUUGUAGCUAUCCUAGUGAUUGGAUGCAGAGGCAUGCAUACAGACAUCAGAGGAGAGAUUUUUCAAGCAGUUAAAGGAAAACUAAACAUCAGAAAUUAUUAAAUAUUAACAAACAAAUGAAUCUACUUAUAUGUCUAGGGAAGCUUCAGUUCAUAAAAAUUUCUUCUUCAGAACUCUAGCCCUAAGACUAAAUAAACAUUAAUUUUUUUUUAAUUAAUCAAUUAAUGAACAAAAAAAAAGGACAAUAAAUAACUGUUGAUGCAAAGAAGGAAUAGCAAAACACAUUUUACCUCACCCUAUUGUCACUCCUACAACACUAUCCUCAAAUAAAUUCAAGUACUGUUACUCUAGUAGCCAAACACAAGAGAGAGAGAGAGAGA
rnacentral:misc_RNA from 1 species